GAGAGUUCUGGCAUCCUCUGUGAUGUCACCAGUGUUGUAGUGACAACCAGUGCCCUAGUUUCUCUCAGUCUGAGUCUGGCAGUCACAAGCUAAGACAUGUUUUCCUGUCUUAGGGGGCAUUUUGGGAGGGGGAACAUCGAUUCUGGAGAGACUAGAGUGAAGGAGUCUAGCCUUUCGUCUCUAAGUAAUGAUGGACAAAGACAGCACUUCUGGGGAAUGUGUAAUGCUGGGAGAGAAACAUCAUCCCCUGGAACUGCCCUAAGCGAGAAGCAGGCCAAGAAGGAAAAGGAGAGACUGAUUAAAGAGCUGCAGCUCAUUACCGAGGAGAGAAAUGACCUGAGAGAUCGCCUGAGGUUUCUGACAGAGAGAUCCAUGAAAAAUAGGUAUGAACCGAGCCAAAUGGUCUUGUUUCAUUCCUGGGUCUGCAAGGUUACCUUCAUCUUAUCCAUUUAGGUUUUGGGUUCUAGAAAGCUGUGCCUCCCUAACCACCCUGUGCUAAACCUCACCUCCCAUAUAGAGGAGAUUCAGAACCUGACCCUUCCUGAGGAGCGAGAUGGAAAAUGGACUCAUCUGCUUCCAUUUAUUGAAAAGCAGAACUUGUGGUCUGAAUGAAGAUUUCAGGAAUAAAGUCAGGGAGAGUGAGUGCCCAGUGUGCAUUUGCAAAGCCCUUGACAGCUGGUGGCUUUGCAAGAUUGUAAUUGCAGUGAGUUUAUGGUGAGUCUCUGUCCUUGCUAGGCAGGGGACUGAGUGCUGGAAGAUCCAGGCAGCAGCCUGAGGGGCCUGGUCUGAAACUGUUCAUCUCAAUGCUUGACUAGAAGGUCUCAGGCUCAGGCCUGUUUGUCAUUGUCUGUGUGUCUUAUACUCUGAGACAGCAAUGGUGCAUGUAUUUCUCCUGUUUCUCACAGUGCUCUCUGUUUCCAUAUUUCUCUUUCUCUGACUCUUUACAAUUCUCUAUAUUGUGGGUGUGUCUCAGUUUGUGAGUCUGUGUGUGCAAAUGUCCAAAUACAUAUGGACAACUUUUAUAUGUUUAUAUUUCCCUCCACAAUUGGAAUCUAGUGGUCUAUGUCUUGGGCUGAGUAUUUACCUGUAACACUUUCAUGGUGAUGUGAAUGCUUUGUUCUGGGAUCCCCACUGUCAACAGCACAGUUCUUUGCCUAUGUGAGCACGUUUGCCUGUAUAUUUGUAUUCGUUCUGCAGAUUAUAAUUUUGUGUUGAUAUAUGGUCUUUUAUCAAAACAGGAUAAAAGAAAUCACAGAUUUCUGGGUGUGUUGGGGUGGGGGAGCAUGGAGAGGUGUGGCCAAGGCUCUUGAUAGCUUAACUGGCUUGACUGCAGAUUUCUUCUUGACUGAACAAAGGGAGCCAGGGAGCCCUCCAUCUGGAUGCUGAGAUUCUGGUGUCCUCGACUCAGAAAAACACGUUUCUGAAGCUGAAGAAGAUCCCAAUAUGCAGAAUUCAGAAGGUGUCCUUCCAGGACUGGGGUAGUACAGGACCCACCCUGAGUUCAUAUAUACCUAAAUUCUGAUGUUCAUUGUAUUCUAUCAUUUGGGGCCAGGCCCUACUUCAGGCCAAAUCCUUAUUAUGAAGACCUGGAGAGAAUGGAGGAGGCGGUCAUGUCAAUUCUGCACAACUUAGAGAUGGAGAACACUGAGAUCCAUGAGAACAGCCAUAAGCUGAAGAAGGAGAUGACCUUCUCUAGCUAAGUCCUGGUCAGAAAGGCUAUCACCUGUGGAAUGGCCAUUUCUGACUUUCAUUGUUCUGGAUUGGAUGAUCUUCAGCUCUGGUUCUAUCUCUUGUGCUGUUCACACAUCAGUGUGCCAGGGUCAUUAGGACUCAGUUUUCAGUUCCAUAAAAGACUGUUACUCAUCCCAGGAUUGUUUAGGCAUCUUCAGACGGCUCUAGAUAGAACAGUACUGAUUGAAGUCAGCAGGUUAUUAGGCUGACCUGGACCUCUGGGUUCAUACCAGGUUUUACAACACUCAGUGCGUGGACCACAUGGUUAGCAUGACCUUCUCUUGGUUGUACUGACCUCCUUUGAGGGUAUUGGCCCACUGCUAAUUGAUGUUGCCCCCAUGCAUUGGGCUUUCAUGGAUAGAUGUAGAUCUGUGUUCUUUUUGAGAGAUGUGGACAAUAAUUGGUGCUUGAGCCAAACAAACAAUUUAUUCUCCCCCGAAUUAACUCUUUGCAGUUUGUGCAGGAGCAUUAUAUGUAUCGAGAUGUAUUUUAUUAAGUCUUCAUGGGUAUCUGGGUCCUGGUAGAGUUAGUGGCACUCAGGAGUGGGAAUGGGAGAAAGGGGCAGCAUGAUCUUACUAUGCAGACUGUAUUUCCAGAAACCUGCUCAGCCAGCUCCUGAUGGAGAACACAUGCAGGAAGAAGUUGGUCCCACUGAAACAGGAGAGCAAGGAGGUACAUCUUGAUUGUGCACUGAAACAGAAAUAUUUGGUUGACUUCAACAAGAAAGAUAAAGACCAGCAACGUCCAGACCCAGCAUCUGGUCUCAGAAAGUGCAAGAGAGCUGGAAUUGGACACAGCCCAGUAAGAGAGCUUCCUGAAGAAUAAGUUGCUUUCUCAGGAGUCUCUGAUGACAAACAUCCUGAACGAAAUCACCACUUAAGAGACAACAGGGGGGACCGCCUUUCAUUAUGUGUGCUAGAAGAGAAACAGCAAUACAUCUGUGCUUCUAAAUGUUCGUGAAGAAUAUGAUGUUUAGAAAUAUUUUUGUUAUGAUUUUAAUUGAAAUUUUUUUGUUGUUUCAUAUUUAUAUGUUCUUGUUACUAUUUUUCACUUUCGAAUAUUUUUAAAUAUUUUUAUUCAUUUUAAUCCUGUUUUGUUAUAAAAUGUAUUCCUUAUGAAUAAAUAUUGAAUUC